UUUUGACUGUGCAAAGGUAGCAUAAUCAUUAGUUUUUUAAUUGAAAGCUGGAAUGAAAGGUUUGAUGAGAAAAUAACUGUCUCUGUGUAAAUGUUUUAGAAUUUCAAUUUUAAGUGAAAAAGCUUAAAUUUUUUAUAAAGACGAGAAGACCCUAUAGAGUUUAAUAUUUAAUUAAUUACGGAGUUAAGGAUUUUACUUUUUUGUUAUUAUUUAAAUAUUUUGUUGGGGUGAUGGAAAAAUUGAGUUAACUUUUUUUUGUUUGUUACAUUGAUUUAUGAGUAUUUGAUCCUUAUUUUUGGAUUACAAGAUUAAAUUACCUUAGGGAUAACAGCGUAAUUUUUUUUGGAGAGUUCUUAUCGAUAAAAAAGUUUGCGACCUCGAUGUUGGAUUAAAGUUAAAUUCUGGUGUAGAAGCUAGAAUUUUAGGUCUGUUCGACCUUUGAAAUUUU
rnacentral:rRNA from 1 species